CACUGGAGUGUUACAUUGAGGUCUUUCUGUACGGCAUGCACUGUCCUUGGUGUGUCUCUUUGUCAUCACUUUUGAGUGUGAUUGCAUCUGAAUAUAUUACUUUUAACCACAGAUGAACAGAACAAGCACAUGGAGUUCCAGAUGUUGACCCUCGGAGAAUCCACGUGUGACAGAAAAGAUGGAUAAUCUUUUGGCUCAGUUCCGACCUGGUGAAGCCAGCAUGUGGUUGUUUCAGGCUGAUGUACAAAAAGGAUUCCUUUAACUAGAAAUAUACGACAGGUUGUGAAACUGGACUGCAGCAAAGCCCUGCUGGUGCUAUUCUACCCUUCAGGAGUGCACAGUGCUGGGACUGUGCAACUGUCAUGCGCUUGUCCCGUUUGGAAAGAAGAGAACAGAACCCCUGUGAUGGAAAUGUGUGGACAGCUAUGAAUCUUCAGUGAACUCCAAACUGUAUGGCAGCUACAGGUAAGCUCAUAAAUUAAGCUGUUACUAUGGAAAGCACAAAGCGUGGAAGCCUUUUGUUCUUGCUUCUUGUGUUGACUCCUUGAACGUAAAUUCAAUUUCAUUUUGUGCUCAGAUACAGUCUUUUGCAUAGGCUGUGUUCUGCAGGUUCAGUGGACA